rnacentral:rRNA from 1 species
ACAUCCAGAGAAUUUAGCAGAGAUGCUUUAGUGCCUUCGGGAACUCUGAGACGAGUGCUGCAUGGCUGUCGUCAGCUCGUGUUGUGAAAUGUUGGGUUAAGUCCCGNAACGAGCGCAACCCUUAUCCUUUGUUGCCAGCACGUAAUGGUGGGAACUCAAAGGAGACUGCCGGUGAUAAACCGGAGGAAGGUGGGGAUGACGUCAAGUCAUCAUGGCCCUUACGAGUAGGGCUACACACGUGCUACAAUGGCGCAUACAAAGAGAAGCGACCUCGCGAGAGCAAGCGGACCUCAUAAAGUGCGUCGUAGUCCGGAUUGGAGUCUGCAACUCGACUCCAUGAAGUCGGAAUCGCUAGUAAUCGUAAAUCAGAAUGUUACGGUGAAUACGUUCCCGGGCCUUGUACACACCGCCCGUCACACCAUGGGAGUGGGUUGCAAAAGAAGUAGAUAGCUUAACCUUCGGGAGGGCGUUUACCACUUUGUGAUUCAUGACUGGGGUGAAGUCGUAACAAGGUAGGCGUAGUGCU